GAUGAAGAACGUAGCGAAAUGCGAUACGUAGUGUGAAUUGCAGAAUCUCGUGAACCAUCAAAUCUUUGAACGCAUAUUGCGCUCGAGCCUUCGGGCAAGAGCAUGUCUGGCUCAGCGUCGGGUUGAUUCUCACUCCAUUCACCCCUGUGGUGAAUAGUCUAGUGGACCUGGCUUUCCCAGAGUGUGUGUGUAUAUUUACUUAUACGCAUAUCAAAGCAGUCUGGGUUUGCUGAAGUAUAGAGGCUAAGCGUGGACCCGUCAAGGGCCGCAACUGGGUAGGCAGCUUUAUUGCUCGCUCAAUGUCUAGUUGUUGGCUUGGGUUUCCUCCUUACCGCCGACAAGCAGGAAGCUUACUAUAUUUUCUCGACCUGAGCUCAGGCAAGAUUACCCGCUGAACUUAAGCAUAUCAAUAAGCGGAUGA
rnacentral:misc_RNA from 1 species